CCUACGGGUGGCAGCAGUGAGGAAUAUUGGUCAAUGGACGGAAGUCUGAACCAGCCAAGUCGCGUGAAGGAUGCCUGCGCUGUGCGUUGUAGACUUCUUUUAUAUGGGGAUAAAAUGUUCCACUUGUGUGAUUUUGUGGGUACCCUGUGAAUAAGUAUCGGCUAACUCCGUGCCAGCAGCCGCGGUAAUACGGAGGAUCCGAGCGUUAUCCGGAUUUAUUGGGUUUAAAGGGAGCGUAGGUGGAUCUUUAAGUCGGGUGGGAAAGUUUGGGGCUCAACCCUAAAAUUGCAGUUGAAACUGGAAGUCUUGAGUACAGCAGAGGCGGGCGGAAUGCGCGGUGUAGCGGUGAAAUGCUUAGAUAUCACGAAGAACCCCGAUUGCGAAGGCAGCUCACUGGACUGCAACUGACACUGAGGCUCGAAAGCGCGGGGAUCAAACAGGAUUAGAUACCCUAGUAGUC
rnacentral:rRNA from 1 species